rnacentral:rRNA from 1 species
CCUCCCCGCUCCCCCAUAUCAACACAGUUCCCUUUCUCGUCUCGUAGGAUCCCUAUAUAUUUUUUUUUUGAGGGGAUAGGAUCCCUAUAUUGAGAAGAUCAAUCAUGGCAUGCCUUCCCUCCUGAACCUCAUAGCUGACCCGGCCGAUUCAUUGAUGUUGAGGGCACAAGAGGCGUGUCUUGUUCAGCAACUGGGACGGAAAGCAGAUCAAUCCCCACCCCCGAUUCACAGAAACACAAGUGCACACCAAGUGUUUGAUAGUUGUCCUCUGUUAUUGGUUUAAAAUUUUGGGGGCCUUCAGAUAGAGGGGGUUGUUUCUGAUUCUUCUUCUAUAAGGUCUACUGAACAUAAGAGGUGGCUUAAAUCUGGUAACUGUUAGGGUGUCAGGUGUGGACGCGUACAAUAUUUCAAUCUAGUUCUGCACCAUUACUACCUUGACGAUAUGUCAUGGACAAGAAUUUCAGUGCAUAGCAAGGGGAGAUAUAUUCUCCUGCACAAAGGCUGUUGUCGAGACCAAUAAAACAACAAAAGGUGCUAAUGCAUGCAGUAAGAGUGCUCGAAGUGGUUCGCUGAGUUGGAUGGAUGCCAAUGAACUACCUGCAGGAACUAAAGUAUUCUUGAAGAGCCUGAAAAAUCAUAACAAGGGCGUAGCUUUAGCUACAAUGGUAAGUUCUGAUCCUAAAUUUAGACUUGAUGGUCCUGAAAUUAGAAAUGAAUUCUGGGCAGUGCAUGUCGAUAUGGCACUCGUGCAAACUGAAAAUUUGGUAUGAAGUUGCAAAACGUGUGAUACUCUUGGUGAUGCAGAAAAAGCAAAGAUUGCAUGACCUUCAACCUUUAUUCAAAAGAUAAAUGGAUGAGUAUAUGGGAGCGUGGCGAUUAUAGUGCAAUGAUGAUGUCGCUCUUCCGUUUCAUGAUGAUGACGAUGGAUGCUUUUAGUUUUAGUUAUGUUGUAGGGAUGACGUUCCCGUCGGGUGUUGUUCCUCAGUUAAGAUGGAUAUUUUCAGUUUAAGUUUUGCUGUUAAGAAAAUUGUUAGAUUAUGCAUCACAUUUGGAUGAUGUUCCUCCUGUAAUAUCCACUAUUGUAAUCCAACAGUUUUGUUCUAAUAUACGAUUUCUUCCUGCCG